CCUACGGGAGGCAGCAGUGAGGAAUAUUGGUCAAUGGGCGGAAGCCUGAACCAGCCAAGUAGCGUGCGGGAUGAAGGCCCUAUGGGUCGUAAACCGCUAUUGCACGGGGAUAACACCCUCCACUUGUGGAGGUCUGCAGGUACCGUGCGAAGAAGGGCAGGCUAAUUACAGGCCAGCAGCCGCGGUAAUACGGAAGGACCGAGCGUUAUCCGGAUGCAUUGGGCUUAAAGUGAACGUAGGCGGGCGUGCAAGUCAGCGGUAAAAGCGCGCGGCUCAACCGCGCCCCGCAGUUGAAACUGGACGCCUUGAGUUCACAACAGGCAGGCGGAAUUCGUGGUGUAGCGGUGAAAUGCAUAGAUAUCACGAGGAACCCCGAUUGCGAAGGCAGCCUGCCGGGGUGCGACUGACGCUGAGGCUCGAAGGUGCGGGUAUCAAACAGGAUUAGAUACCCCUGUAGUC
rnacentral:rRNA from 1 species